CGCUCGACAUCAGAGUUUGAUCCUGGCUCAGGAUGAACGCUAGCUACAGGCUUAACACAUGCAAGUCGAGGGGCAGCAUGAUCGAAGCUUGCUUUGAUUGAUGGCGACCGGCGCACGGGUGAGUAACACGUAUCCAACCUGGCUCAGACUCGGGGAUAGCCUUUCGAAAGAAAGAUUAAUACCCGAUGGCAUGAAGCUCCCGCAUGAGGGCUUCAUUAAAGAUUCAUCGGUCUGAGAUGGGGAUGCGUUCCAUUAGGCAGUUGGCGGGGUAACGGCCCACCAAGGCAAUGAUGGGUAGCCGGCCUGAGAGGGUGAACGGCCACAAGGGGGCUGAGACACGGCCCUU
rnacentral:rRNA from 1 species